rnacentral:rRNA from 1 species
GAUCCGGUGGUUCUGUAUGGAAGGGCCAUCGCUCAACGGAUAAAAGGUACUCCGGGGAUAACAGGCUGAUACCGCCCAAGAGUUCAUAUCGACGGCGGUGUUUGGCACCUCGAUGUCGGCUCAUCACAUCCUGGGGCUGAAGUCGGUCCCAAGGGUAUGGCUGUUCGCCAUUUAAAGUGGUACGCGAGCUGGGUUUAGAACGUCGUGAGACAGUUCGGUCCCUAUCUGCCGUGGGCGUUGGAAGAUUGAAGGGGGCUGCUCCUAGUACGAGAGGACCGGAGUGGACGAACCUCUGGUGUUCGGGUUGUGUCGCCAGACGCAUUGCCCGGUAGCUAAGUUCGGAAUCGAUAAGCGCUGAAAGCAUCUAAGCGCGAAGCGAGCCCUGAGAUGAGUCUUCCCUGACUCCUUGAGAGUCCUAAAGGGUUGUUCGAGACUAGAACGUUGAUAGGCAGGGUGUGUAAGCGUUGUGAGGCGUUGAGCUAACCUGUACUAAUUGCCCGUGAGGCUUAACCAUACAACACCCAAAGGGUUUUG